CCUAACGGCUGAACCAGCAACUUGAAGGAACGAAAAACCGAAGUCAUGAGCGGUUACCAUGUUAUUAACGUGGGGCAUUCUAUGCUAAUAGUUCGAAGCUAAGAUCUUUGAUAAUGACAUAAUUUGCUUCUAGGUCUUGACCCACUCAUGUGCCAGCAGUCGCGGUAAGACAUGGAAGGCAAGCGUUAUUCAUCUUUAUUAGGUUUAAAGGGUACCUAGACGGUAGAUAAUAGCUUUUUCUUCUAAGGAAUUGUACUUUAUAAACUAGAGUUUAAAUGUAAGGAGGUUCAGAACGGCGAGUGUANGGAUGAAAUCCGUUGAUACCGCCUAGAAACUGGUUAGGUGUAGACAGGAUCUUAUGUAAAAACUGACGUUGAGGGACGAAGGCUCAAGAGAAAGAAACGGGAUUAGUUACCCCAGUACCCAGAGCAGACAAUGAUGAAUGUCAUAUACAGAGAUAAUUUUCUUUUAUGUAUAAAUGAAAAUGCAAGCAUUCCACCUUAAGAGUAAUAUGGAAACGUAUAAACUGAAAUCAUUAGACCGUUUCUGGAACUCGUAGUGAAGUAUGUUAUUUAAUUUGAUGAUCCACAAAGGACCUUACCACAGUGUGAAUAGUUAUAUACGUAGGUAUAUUUCGGACAAGCGUUGCACGGCUGUCUACAGUUGAUAUCGUGAGAACUGAUUCGCUUCAUAAAUCAACGGAAUCCCUAACUUUAAUUAAAUUAAAGUGCUAAUUUCGGUAUAUGGAACCAUAUCUGAACUUAAUAUAUGGGAACAUGACAAGUCAUCAUGGCCAAACAUACAAAAUGACAGUAGCUGUGGGCGAUAGACGUGCCACAUUUAACCUUAACAAAAAGACGCAAAAUCGUGAGAUUUAGCCUAAUCUAAAAAAAA
rnacentral:rRNA from 1 species